AAAAAAUAUUAUUCAGAUAAACUUUGACUUUUAUAAACAAUGAUGUAAAGUGCAUUUUAGUCUCCCUGGAAAGUUCCAGGUUUGAUAUAUGUGUGAUCUGAACUCUGUUUUACUCACAGAUAAGUUAUAGUACAGUUCUCAGCCAUGCAAGUUGCAAAAAUGUAGUUGUCUGUACCGCUUCAAUGUGUCUCAACACUUAUACAAAGUGAUCACUUUGAAGGUGAGAGGUAAGUUCAUUCUCCAUUCUUAUUCAUUUUUGGGCUCUCUGCUGAAUGUGUUAACAAGUUUGCCAACAAUGUUAAUUAUAAAUGAAGGAUACUUACUUGUAACCAGAGUUCUUCCAGAAGACCCUGUAUAUACCCAUUUAUGGGUAGUGUGCCACCUGGUGAUGCCUAAUGAUAGAACCUUCUCCAAAUAGUGUCCCUAGCGUACACAUGUGCCGCCAUCUCAGCAUCGUCAAAUGUUUUAAGGGUAAUCUAUACGAGGUGGUGGUGUGCCCCCUUCCACCUUGGUUCCUUCCACCACUAACCCGGAGAACCAAGGUAAGAUCUGAGAAAGAGGGGAAGGUUACUUACUUGUACCCAAGUUGUGGUAUGAAUAUGCAGAGUUGUCUUGAAGAGUUGUCUUCAAUUACAAGUAGCCAACCUUCACUUCUUCUUUGAGUGACUUUGCAUAUUCAUACUUAUGAGUAAUUUGGCACGCAGUGCAGAAAUUUCAGGAAGAGGGAACAGAGGCCUAAUCAAAUAAUGAUUGAAGCAUGGCUCUACUAAGUCUGGUAUCUGCUCUUGAAGCAAAAUCCAAAGCAUAAUUUUUGCUAAAAGUACAAUAGACUGACCUCGAAGUAGCAGCUUAGUAGAUUUCUCCAAUAGGAACAUGUUUAAGGCAUGUUAAGAGAUGUUACCAUUGCUCUAGUAGAAUGAUACUUCCCAAUAGCAGGCACAGGAACUGCCACUAAUGUAUAACAUUCAGUUAUAUAUUGUUUAACUGUUCCGGAUAUAGUCUGAAUAGAUACACUAUUACCCGUAUGAUUCUUAGCGUAAGAGACAAAUAACCUAGAUGACUUUCUAAAACUCUUUGUUCUAUUUAAAUAAUGUGCCGGAAUCCUUCUAGCAUCUAAGGUAUGUAACUCCAAUUCCCUUUCAUUAGCAUGUGGUUUAAGGGGGAAAAAUUAAUAGUUUGAUGGGUAAUUCAGAUGCUAUUUUUGUAGAAACUUAGGGUCAGUUCUAAGAACCACCUUGUCCGUAUGAAAAAUAGUAAAUGAUGCAACUGCCAUCAGAGCAGACUUUUUGAUGCCCUAGAUCUGUCAGUAGGGAGAUUGUGGAGUUGAUAUGAAGUAGCAGGCCCUCACAUGAAGAAGACUUCAGCAGCCAGUUGUCCAAAUAUAGGUAAACAAACAUACCCUGCUUUCUUUAAUGCACUGCUACUACAGAGAGCCACUUUGUAAAGACUCUUGGUGCUGUAGAAAGGCCAAACAGCAGGACCUUGUACUGGAAAUGUUGCUGGGCCAUAACAAAACAAAGGCUCAGCUGGAUUGAAACAUUAAAAACCAGAACUUCCAAAUGUACUUGUUCAGUUUUCUGAGAUCUAAAAUUGAAGAGAAUCCCACAUCUUUUCUUGUACCAGGAAGUAUCUUGAAUAAAACCCAGACACCAAAGAUGUUUGGGUAUCUCUUUGACAACACCUAAUAGAAGCAGUUUUUGAACCUGUGAUAGAAGAAUAGCCUCAUGAGACAGUUCUCUGUAAAGGGAAGAGUAGGGAGAAUUGAAAGAGGGUAGUUUUUUUUAUUUAUAUGGCAUACCUCUUCUCAGUGAUUUCUAGAACUCACUUGUCUGAUGUAAUAAGCCUCCAGUUGUUGAUGAAAAUGGCUAGCCUGUCUCCAAAUAAAGGAAGGGAGGGAUUGUCACUUAUUGGUUCCUGACUCUCGCUCCUCACAUCAAAUCUCAGGCCUGGUGUUCAAGGAAGAUAAAGAGGAGGGAGCAGAUUGUUUUGUCUCUGGUGUGUAUCUAAAAUACUUCUUGUGCUUGCUCUGAGAUGAAAACAAAGCUUACUGAUGCGGACAUCUGUGAUUUGAGGAAAAAUAAGCAAAUAACUGAGGUAAAAUUGUCUCUGAUAAUGGAAACAAGGAGUGUAUGGUUUCUUUCUGAACCAGGGAUAGUGACCCAGUGAACAAGCAGUGGAUUUGCUAUCUGUUAAUUUUUCCAAAAAUUCAUCAGUCUUAUUGCCUCUCAAAAGGAAGAGGGGUAUUUAAUUUGGUAUCCACAGCCAAUGAAGAGGCACAAAGCCAAAAAGGUCUCCUUAAGGUGCCAGUGCUCUAGUGGAAAAGUGAGAAGCAUCAGCUGAAGCCCUGAGAGCAUGCUUCACAUUUUGUCCCUUCAUCAAAAUAACAUUUGCCAGCCUUCUCUUAUUGUCUGGCAAUGCCUGAACAAACACAGAUGCCAUGACCACCUGGUAAUUAGACAUUCUAAUACCAAGAGAAGAGGGGGGGAAAAACUUUCUUCCCCUCUCUGUAAAGAGUCUAAUGGGCCUAAUUGGACAUAAACUUAUUACUAGCAGAGCCACCACAGUAAAUUAGGCAGAGGGUGAGUGUGACAGUAAGAAAACCCCAAGUCCUGGGGUGUAUCUCAUACAAUUAUCUGCUUUUUCAGAAAUACAUUGACUGGAAGCAGGGGUUGCCCAAACAGUCCUAGUCGGCUGCAAGAGAGCAUCCACUAUCGGCAACCACAUCCUGUUCCAGAAGGCAGUCUCAAGAAUGUCCAAUACUGGGUGGAAGGUUUUCUCCAUAGCCACAGAAGAAAACGUGUCAGGCACAACUAUCAGAGCUGAAGAUAGAUCUAGUGGAACCAGAUCCAAGGGUUGCUCAGCUACUGGAUCCUUUUCUGCUGAAACAUCACCUCUCCAUCCAUAAAGAGGAUGACUCAAAACGUUCUGUGGUGGAACCCAACCAGGAUUGCCAGUACCUCCAGUAGCUGGGAUGUGGAAAGAUGCCCAUAGGAGGCAGAACAACAUUGGAGUGGGGAAUCAGGUCUCUUAAUUCUUCAUCUGCCUCCUCCACCUGAUGAUCUAACCUCAGAUCUGCCAUGGACCUCACAGAAGACAGCAACAGAACUGGAGGGUGAAGAGCAAUAGAAGAUGAAGAGGAAGCAGAACACUGAACCGAACAAGUCAUCUGCCUCUCACUUAGACACGAGGAAUGCUCAGAUGCAGGAUUGUUCACUUCAGCCACCACAGUGAGACCUCUUUGGAUUAAAGGAUGAUUCCAGAACAGCAGCGAGGAAAUAGCUGGUCUCACAGACCUACAGAGUACCAGAUCCAGCAAAAUACUCAGUUCCACACCUCUGGUCUUUGAAGUUGAAAGUGGAACCAACUUGGGCUUCAGAGAUGGAACUGCAGAGGCCAUGUCAGAAUCAGAUGGAUCCAUCAGCUAGAGCCCUGAAAUUGACCAGAAAGCCAGUUCCCCACCUGGGCUUCUGCCAGGUCUUCACUCCAAGCUUUCUGCCACCCAGACUCCUGGCUUCAGCUGCUCCCUGGGUCUCAGCUCCCCGCAAGGAGCACAGCAGCCGCCUGGACUCCAGGCAGGAUCUUCCUGCUGGAGGCGAGAAGCCCCAGGGGGCAGCUGGGCUCCCAGUGGGGAGUGGUGGGGAACUGAGCGCCCUGGCCUUCAGCCCUCCACAGUGCACCUCUUUAGUCGGUGGAAGUGCUCAUCGUAAGGAUGUGCAACACUGACCAAAGGAGGGUAGUGUGGACAUCAGACACCAUUGUAAGUUGACUUAACGUAGGUUGACUUAAGAUUGAAGUGUAGACAUGCCCUUAAUGGCAGAACUGAGUCCUUUUAAUGUAAUGUCACAAUUUACAGAUGAACUGACUAUAGAAAACUGUGAACUAUCAAAAAUAUGUAAUUAAUUAGCAUGGAGGGCCAGAGAGAAAUCGGGGGGGGGGGGGGAAAUGG